CGGAAAGGCCCUUCGGGGUACUCGAGUGGCGAACGGGUGAGUAACACGUGGGUGAUCUGCCCUGCACUUUGGGAUAAGCCUGGGAAACUGGGUCUAAUACCGGAUAGGACCACGGUCUGCAUGGAUUGUGGUGGAAAGCUUUUGCGGUGUGGGAUGGGCCCGCGGCCUAUCAGCUUGUUGGUGGGGUGAUGGCCUACCAAGGCGACGACGGGUAGCCGGCCUGAGAGGGUGUCCGGCCACACUGGGACUGAGAUACGGCCCAGACUCCUACGGGAGGCAGCAGUGGGGAAUAUUGCACAAUGGGCGCAAGCCUGAUGCAGCGACGCCGCGUGGGGGAUGACGGCCUUCGGGUUGUAAACCUCUUUCAGUAGGGACGAAGCGCGAGUGACGGUACCUACAGAAGAAGCACCGGCCAACUACGUGCCAGCAGCCGCGGUAAUACGUAGGGUGCGAGCGUUGUCCGGAAUUACUGGGCGUAAAGAGCUCGUAGGUGGUUUGUCGCGUUGUUCGUGAAAACUCACAGCUUAACUGUGGGCGUGCGGGCGAUACGGGCAGACUGGAGUACUGCAGGGGAGACUGGAAUUCCUGGUGUAGCGGUGGAAUGCGCAGAUAUCAGGAGGAACACCGGUGGCGAAGGCGGGUCUCUGGGCAGUAACUGACGCUGAGGAGCGAAAGCGUGGGGAGCGAACAGGAUUAGAUACCCUGGUAGUCCACGCCGUAAACGGUGGGUACUAGGUGUGGGUUUCCUUCCUUGGGAUCCGUGCCGUAGCUAACGCAUUAAGUACCCCGCCUGGGGAGUAC
rnacentral:rRNA from 1 species